rnacentral:tRNA from 2 species
GGGUCGCUAACUCAGUUGGUAGAGUAUCCGGCUUUUAACCGGCUUGUCCUGGGUUCGAGUCCCAGGCGACCCA